rnacentral:rRNA from 1 species
GAUAAACGCUGGCGGCGUGCCUAACACAUGCAAGUCGAACGAUCCCGCAAGGGAGAGUGGCGGAAGGGUGAGUAACACGUAGGAAUCUACCCCGACGGAGGGAACAACCUAUCGAAAGAUGGGCUAAUACCCAAAAGGAUCCGUAAUGAUCAGAGUCGAAAGGCCUGUCGGGAUGAGCCUGCGGCGCAUCAGCUAGUUGGUGAGGUAAAAGCUUACCAAGGCUACGACGCGUAGGGGGUCUGAGAGGACGUCCCCCACACU